UACGGGGGGGGCAAGCGUUGUUCGGAAUUACUGGGCGUAAAGGGCUCGUAGGCGGCCAACUAAGUCAUACGUGAAAUCCCUCGGCUUAACCGGGGAACUGCGUCUGAUACUGGAUGGCUUGAGUUCGGGAGAGGGAUGCGGAAUUCCAGGUGUAGCGGUGAAAUGCGUAGAUAUCAGGAGGAACACCGGUGGCGAAGGCGGCUUGCUGGGCCAGUUCUGACGCUGAGGAGCGAAAGCGUGGGGAGCGAACAGG
rnacentral:rRNA from 1 species